UUGUGUCCCACUCGGAGGAGAUAGUGUCUGUUUAAAGCUGGACUUGGCUUCAGGAGGACAUACAGAGAAAGUAAUAUGAAAGACUGCAAGUGGAUCAAUUAAAUUCCUGGAGUGAAAUUCUUCUGGCUUUUUGAUCAACAUGUUUACUGCAAUGGAUGAACAGUCCCUUCUGGAUGCCUUCUCAUGGAUCACACAGGGAGUCUGGACUACGGACCUUUUA